rnacentral:rRNA from 1 species
UUUCGAUUACUGGCUCAGGAUGGACGCUAGCUACAGGCUUAACACAUGCAAGUCGAGGGGCAGCAUGAUCUAAGCUUGCUUAGAUGAUGGCGACCGGCGCACGGGUGAGUAACGCGUAUCCAACCUUCCCUAUAGUAGAGGAUAGCCCGGCGAAAGUCGGAUUAAUACUCUAUGUUUUCCAAUGCAGACAUCUAAAAUGGAACAAAGGUUUACCGCUAUAGGAUGGGGAUGCGUCUGAUUAGGUUGUUGGCGGGGUAACGGCCCACCAAGCCUACGAUCAGUAGGGGUUCUGAGAGGAAGGUCCCCCACAUUGGAACUGAGACACGGUCCAAACUCCUACGGGAGGCAGCAGUGAGGAAUAUUGGUCAAUGGGCGAGAGCCUGAACCAGCCAAAGUAGCGUGCAGGAUGACGGCCCUAUGGGUUGUAAACUGCUUUUAUACGGGGAUAAAGUGAGGGACGCGUCCCUUUUUGUAGGUACCGUAUGAAUAAGGACCGGCUAAUUCCGUGCCAGCCGCUGC